CCUACGGGUGGCAGCAGUCGAGAAUCAUUCACAAUGGGGGAAACCCUGAUGGUGCGACGCCGCGUGGGGGAAUGAAGGUCUUCGGAUUGUAAACCCCUGUCAUGUGGGAGCAAAUUAAAAAGAUAGUACCACAAGAGGAAGAGACGGCUAACUCUGUGCCAGCAGCCGCGGUAAUACAGAGGUCUCAAGCGUUGUUCGGAAUCACUGGGCGUAAAGCGUGCGGAGGCUGUUUCGUAAGUCGUGUGUGAAAGGCGCGGGCUCAACCCGGGGACGGCACCUGUUACUGCGAGACUAGAGUAAGGGAGGGGGAAGCGGAAUUCCCGGUGUAGCAGUGAAAUGCGUAGAUAUCGAGAAGAACACUCGUGGCGAAGGCGGGUUCCUGGACAUUAACUGACGCUGAGGCACGAAGGCCAGGGGAGCGAAAGGGAUUAGAUACCCUUGUAGUC
rnacentral:rRNA from 1 species